rnacentral:rRNA from 1 species
GAUGAACGCUGGCGGCGUGCCUAAUACAUGCAAGUCGAACGAAACUUCUUUAUCACCGAGUGCUUGCACUCACCGAUAAAGAGUUGAGUGGCGAACGGGUGAGUAACACGUGGGCAACCUGCCCAAAAGAGGGGGAUAACACUUGGAAACAGGUGCUAAUACCGCAUAACCAUAGUUACCGCAUGGUAACUAUGUAAAAGGUGGCUAUACUACCGCUUUUGGAUGGGCCCGCGGCGCAUUAGCUAGUUGGUAGGGUAAAGGCUUACCAAGGCAAUGAUGCGUAGCCGAAUUGAGAGGUUGAUCGGCCACAUUGGGACUGAGACACGGCCCAAACUCCUACGGGAGGCAGCAGUAGGGAAUCUUCCACAACGGGCGAAAGCCUGAUGGAGCAACGCCGCGUGGGUGAAGAAGGUCUUCGGAUCGUAAAACCCUGUUGUUAGAGAAGAAAGUGCGUGAGAGUAACUGUUCACGUUUCGACGGUAUCUAACCAGAAAGCCACUGCUAACUACGUG